rnacentral:rRNA from 1 species
ACGGAAGGCAGCAGUAGGGAAUCUUCCACAAUGGGCGAAAGCCUGAUGGAGCAACGCCGCGUGUGUGAUGAAGGGUUUCGGCUCGUAAAACACUUUUGUAAGAGAAGAAUGACAUUGAGAGUAACUGUUCAAUGUGUGACGGUAUCUUACCAGAAAGGAACGGCUAAAUACGUGCCAGCAGCCGCGUUAAUACGUAUGUUCCCAGCGUUAUCCGGAUUUAUUGGGCGUAAAGCGAGCGCAGACGGUUAUUUAAGUCUGAAGUGAAAGCCCUCAGCUCAACUGAGGAAUUGCUUUGGAAACUGGAUGACUUGAGUGCAGUAGAGGAAAGUGGAAGUCCAUGUGUAGCGGUGAAAUGCGUAGAUAUAUGGAAGAACACCAGUGGCGAAGGCGGCUGUCUGGACUGUAACUGACGUUGAGGCUCGAAAGUGCGGGGAUCGAACAGGAUUAGAUACCCUGGUA